UACGUAGGGGGCAAGCGUUGUCCGGAUUUAUUGGGCGUAAAGAGCGUGUAGGCGGCCAGAUAGGUCCGUUGUGAAAACUCGAGGCUCAACCUCGAGACGCCGAUGGAAACCAUUUGGCUAGAGUCCGGAAGAGGAGAGUGGAAUUCCUGGUGUAGCGGUGAAAUGCGCAGAUAUCAGGAAGAACACCCGUGGCUAAGGCGGCUCUCUAGUACGGUACUGACGCUGAGACGCGAA
rnacentral:rRNA from 1 species